rnacentral:misc_RNA from 1 species
AACGCAAUACCUAUAUGAAAUUUGUCAACGUGAUUGAAAAACGCAACUCAGCACUUAGUCGGUGGAAACAAUCAUCGAUUGCAAAUCCCACAACGCAGCAAAAUCAGAUCACCGUGUAUAAUAUAAAACAAAUACGUGAAGAUAUAAACCCCCGAAAAUAAGUGAAAAUAUUAUUUACUCUUAUAUAUUCAACGCGAUUAGUUCUACGGAAAAUAUGUCGGAUACAUCAGAACACCUAUUCAACUUCGUUCCUUUGGCAUCAUCCCAAACUCAAAGUCAGAGUGAACGGGAGUCAGGGGUGAGACGUCUGUCCUUGGGGGUCAAGAGGAAGGCAACACCCGUUUACUCGUUUAUCAAAAAACCACAUCGGAAUGGAGGUACAAAAGUCAUCAAAAUAGAAAUUUACGACAGUAACAAAUUGAAUGAGAACUUUGAACAUAUAUGUAAAUGUAAUGCCGAGCUGUGUGCCCAAUAUGUAGUGAAAAAUACGUUAUUAGACCAAGUUUACGAAUUAACGCGUAGAGUAAUUGACAAGAUAGACGAAGGUUUGUCCUCAGAUACGCCACAUGGGUACACCAUCGAAUAAGGGUACAAUUUAAUGUGAUUGUGUAAUAUGAACAUAGUUCUUAAGUUAAUAAACAUUAUAAAAGUA